UGCCAGCAUUUGUGAGCACUUUGCCUGAAGGAGGGCGAGGCAGAGCCAUGACCUUGCCCUUGCUCCAGGAAUCCAGCCAGCAUCACUGCUGGAUCCGAUCGGACUGCAGGCACGCAGCACAGGGGUUGUCCUGCCCAUAGCAAAGGCACUUAGCCCUUUCCUGAAAACGGAUAUGGUGUUUCCUGAGCCUUUAGUGAGCUGCAGCCCCAUGGAUCUGCAGARCACGCAGGAAAAGGACAAGGCUACUUGAUGAGUCUCUGAGCAUUUUACACACUGAUGAAGUGCAGCAAACAAGCGCGGGACCCUGCAAAUUCRCGAUGCUGCUUCCAAGAAGCCUGUUGCUUUUGAAUUUACUUUUUGCAUGCUUUGUUGAUAUUAAUUAACGCUAAAAGAGAAAAGGGCCUUUUAUUUUUUUUUUUUUUCUGGAGCUCUUCCUGGCGUGAGAAUUGCCCGAGAGUGCAUUUGGACUCUGCCACUCCCAAACACAGAGCAGACUUCUGAUGGGAGCAACUCCCAUCRGGACUUGUUUGCCUUGGCCUGUGAGUUUGUCUGCUUGCUUCUCCUCUGCUGGUUUUCUCCCUGUCAUUUAUGAUAGAAGCCAGUGUCACCAAGCCGUUGCCGCCGCUCUCUGUCCUUUCCGUGAGAAUCACUUCCUCCRGGGCAGAGGGAGCAGCUUUCAAGGUCUCAGCUUUAUCUUUGCGCUGCUUGUGCAGAGAGAUAAAGCAUGCUGGCAAGAGCAAAACAAGCCGUGUGUUCAGUAGGAUGAUCCUGGGCUUCAGCUCUAGUUCUGAUGCUGGCUGUCUCACUCACACGCUUGUAAAUGCAUUUUGCUCCGAGAACAGCCCUAGUGAGAGGAACUGGAGUUCACAUACGACGAAAUUUCCCAGGCUGCAGUAUGGAAAAUCUCAUCUGACCAGGGUGGAGAUGAUGCAGAAUGAGUAAUAGGAAUAGGAGUCACCUGGAGGAUGUGAUAAGAGAAGGGUCCCUAAACGGUAGCAAAGUAAAAAGUAUCUGGCUCUUGAACUCCUGAUUCCCUGGGGCAAUGUGCCUCGCAAGAAAAUGUAGUUUUGUGUUGAAUUGAUAYAGUGACUUGAACUAGGCUGUUUUCAAAUAAAUACA